CGACGACCGCUUCCGGCACCCCCCCUCUCUUCGUCGCCGACGCCUCGAUCAUCAGCGCCCUGUCCUCCGUGCCGGCGUAGAGGAGCUCGGGGUCGAGGGUCCAUACGAAGCGACGAACGUCGGGGUGGAGUUGAAAGGCGUCAGAUGGAGUUGAAAGGCGUCGAGGUGUGUCGGGAUUGAAAGCGAGCGGUGGGCGGAGAGAUGCGCCGGAUGAGAAAGUCCUUAAGGAUCGGCGUUCACCACGCCAACGCGGUCGUACGGGGACCAGUGUGAG
rnacentral:lncRNA from 1 species